UACGUAGGGAGCUAGCGUUUGUCCGGAAUCAUUGGGCGUAAAGCGCGCGUAGGCGGCCUCAUAAGUCCGCUGUAAAAGUCAAAGGCUCAACCUUUGAAUGCCGGUGGAUACUGUGAGGCUAGAGUCCGGAAGAGGCGAGUGGAACUCCUGGUGUAGCGGUGGAAUGCGCAGAUAUCAGGAAGAACACCAACGGCGAAGGCAGCUCGCUGGGACGGUACUGACGCUGAGGCGCGAAAGCCAGGGGAGCAAACGGG
rnacentral:rRNA from 1 species